UCGGAAUCUGGGAGGACCAUCUCCUAAGGCUAAAUACUCUCUAGUGACCGAUAGUGAACCAGUACCGUGAGGGAAAGGUGAAAAGCACCCCGGAAGGGGAGUGAAAUAGAACCUGAAACCGUGUGCUUACAAGUAGUCAGAGCCCGUUAAUGGGUGAUGGCGUGCCUUUUGUAGAAUGAACCGGCGAGUUACGAUUUGAUGCAAGGUUAAGCAGUAAAUGUGGAGCCGUAGCGAAAGCGAGUCUGAAUAGGGCGUUUAGUAUUUGGUCGUAGACCCGAAACCAGGUGAUCUACCCUUGGUCAGGUUGAAGUUCAGGUAACACUGAAUGGAGGACCGAACCGACUUACGUUGAAAAGUGAGCGGAUGAACUGAGGGUAGCGGAGAAAUUCCAAUCGAACCUGGAGAUAGCUGGUUCUCUCCGAAAUAGCUUUAGGGCUAGCCUCAAGUGAUGAUUAUUGGAGGUAGAGCACUGUUUGGACGAGGGGCCCCUCUCGGGUUACCGAAUUCAGACAAACUCCGAAUGCCAAUUAAUUUAACUUGGGAGUCAGAACAUGGGUGAUAAGGUCCGUGUUCGAAAGGGAAACAGCCCAGACCACCAGCUAAGGUCCCAAAAUAUAUGUUAAGUGGAAAAGGAUGUGGCGUUGCCCAGACAACUAGGAUGUUGGCUUAGAAGCAGCCAUCAUUUAAAGAGUGCGUAAUAGCUCACUAGUCGAGUGACACUGCGCCGAAAAUGUACCGGGGCUAAACAUAUUACCGAAGCUGUGGAUUGUCCUUUGGACAAUGGUAGGAGAGCGUUCUAAGGGCGUUGAAGCAUGAUCGUAAGGACAUGUGGAGCGCUUAGAAGUGAGAAUGCCGGUGUGAGUAGCGAAAGACGGGUGAGAAUCCCGUCCACCGAUUGACUAAGGUUUCCAGAGGAAGGCUCGUCCGCUCUGGGUUAGUCGGGUCCUAAGCUGAGGCCGACAGGCGUAGGCGAUGGAUAACAGGUUGAUAUUCCUGUACCACCUAUAAUCGUUUUAAUCGAUGGGGGGACGCAGUAGGAUAGGCGAAGCGUGCGAUUGGAUUGCACGUCUAAGCAGUAAGGCUGAGUAUUAGGCAAAUCCGGUACUCGUUAAGGCUGAGC
rnacentral:rRNA from 1 species